rnacentral:lncRNA from 1 species
CUUGUUGGUUAUCUGUUUUUUAUAUAGUGUAUCAGUUAAUCCCAAGCUCCUAAUGUAUCCUUCCUCUUCCUUUUCCCUUUAGUAUAUAGUUAAAUUCUUAAACAAUGCCUCCUAACAUUAAAAAAAUAUAUAUAUUUCUUGAGUCAAACCCAUCAACUUUCCUCUGACAGGAGCCCUCUAAUUGCUCAAUAGUGUGAACCCUUCUGUGCCCUAAAGCCCAGUCUUUUUGCCCUACUUAGGGCUGCAGUGGUGGGUCAUGGUGGGGUUUGGAUUUCCAGAGAGACUGUAGGUGGAAGUCCCCCGCCCCCAAACUGGUCCAAGAAAAGGUUGAACCCAGAAGAUGAGCCUUUGUGUGGAUGAUGACUUCGUUUGCCUUUAGCUGUAUUCUGAGGACUGAUGCUGAAGCUGAAACUCCAAUACUUUGGCCACCUGAUUCUAAGAGCUGACUCAUUUGACAGACCCCGAUGCUGGGGAAGAUUGAGAGCAGGAGGAGAAGGGGAUGACGGGAUGAGAUGGAUGGCAUCACCGACUCAAUGGACAUGAGUUUGGGUGGACUCCGGGAGUGAUGAUGGACAGGCAGGCCUGGUGUGCUGCAGUCCAUGGGGCCGCAAAGAGUCGGACACAACUGAGUGACCGAACUGAACUGAACUGAAACUCUUCCCCCACAGCUGGAUGAGCCGGGGAAGGAGGUGUGGGUGGGCAUACCUCUGGGGCUGCAGGUGGGAGUGAGUGAGCAGUGGUGGGCAACAGAAGGUAGUCCUUUCGUAUUAAUAUUUAUUCUGGGGUGUUAGAAUUCUUAAGCAAUACAUCGCCUCUCCCCAGCACUUAAUUUGGGGGAACUGAACGAUGUACCCGCCCAGAUAUCUGCCAUCAGAGCCCCACAGGCUGACCAAGUUGCCCAAGCCGCGUUUCUUUUCCCGCCCACCUGGCCCUGAGGUGGACGGCCGCAGAAAGGGUUAACGGGGGAACUGGCAGGGCCCUUGCUCUGAGGCUGCACACUCAGCUUCCAGAAGCCCAUCCGCCAAGCCCAGGACGAUUCUUCCUGACCAGCUGUGGAAGCCAGAGGGAGAGCGAGCACGGUGGGUGCUCCUUGAGGUGCUGGCGUCCCCGGAGCCCUGAAACCACAGUGGCAACGCUGGAAAAACCAGGUGUUCCUAAGGACUUAAAACUUCAUACCCAGCAG